UAGAGAUGUGACCGACGAUGCUCAUAUUCUUCGCCAGACCCUUCCAGACCCUCGAUGUUUGCCGAUUUUUGGAAGAUUCUGCCAAGUAAAUUGUACGCAAGCUUUUACGCGAGUAAACAAGCAAGAACGAAAGUCAAGUGGAAUAACGUUCCAAUAAUCGGACUACGAGAAUUACAGUAACUCACAAAAUGAUUGUUUCAGGAAACGAAAGGCGGCGAGCAGUCGGCCUUUGAUGAAUUUCACAGAUCGGAAUCGUAUACCGACAGUGGAAUCAGUCGUAACAUGUACGCCGGGAUAUAGACGGCGAUUAACGAAGUAUUAAGACCAGAGUAUUCCGCGUAAGCCAGGGAUAUGCACGAUGGUGCAUACAGAUGUGAUGCAAAUUAACGUUUAGUAUAAGCCGUGCAAACCUUGGUAGAUAGCUCCUGGCUCAACGAGCCCCGUUUACGCCUUUCGCGAUGUCUGUAGCCAUUAAGCCAGUGUUCGAGCCGUUACGGCUGA